rnacentral:misc_RNA from 1 species
GGCGGCGGCGGCGGCUACGGCGGCGGCCGUGGCGGCGGCGGCGGCGGCUACGGUGGCAGCCGUGGCGGCGGCUACGGCGGCGACUCCGGCGGGAACUGGAGGAACUGAUUGGUGGGGCCCAUCGUGGCCAGUUAUCCUUAGCUAUCCGUGUCAGAAUCAUCUUAUCAUCGAGUCGAGUCGUUAUCGUGUCCAGUGGCUCUCUCGAGUCGAGAAGCCCUCUAUCCAUCCAUCCAGUGUUAGGUGUUCUUCGUCCGUGAUGUUACCAUGAAUUGAGUUCGCUUUGGUUAUGGUGUUUGAACUGCUUGUUGCUAUCUAUCGGA